GUCUAGAUAGCUCAGUGGUAGAGCAUAGGAUUGAAAAUCCUUGAGUCAUGGGUUCAAAUCCCAUUCUGGACA
rnacentral:tRNA from 1 species